rnacentral:rRNA from 1 species
UGUGGCCAAGUUGUUAAGGGCGCACGGUGGAUGCCUUGGCACCAGGAGCCGAUGAAGGACGUAGGAGGCUGCGAUAAGCCUCGGGGAGCUGUCAACCGAGCGUUGAUCCGAGGAUUUCCGAAUGGGGGAACCCCGCACCAGUCAUGUGGUGUGACCCGCGCUUGAACACAUAGGGCGUGUGGAGGGAACGUGGGGAAGUGAAACAUCUCAGUACCCACAGGAAGAGAAAACAACCGUGAUUCCGUGAGUAGUGGCGAGCGAAAGCGGAUGAGGCUAAACCGAUUGCAUGUGAUAGCCGGCAGGCGUUGUGUGGUCGGGGUCGUGGGACCGUUCAGUCAGGGCUGCCGCCCUGGCAGAGAGUGAGAAAACAGCGUCGUUAGUGGAAGGCCUCUGGAAGGGGUCGCCGUAGAGGGUGAGAGCCCCGUACACGAAAACGCGUUGUCUCUCGAGCGUGUUCCCAAGUAGCACCGAGCCCGUGAAAUUCGGUGUGAAUCUGGCGGGACCACCCGCUAAGCCUGAAUACUCCCUGGUGACCGAUAGCGGACAAGUACCGUGAGGGAAAGGUGAAAAGUACCCCGGGAGGGGAGUGAAAUAGUACCUGAAACCGUGUGCCUACAAGCCGUGAGAGCCUUAUGCCCUUCGGGGUGGGGGUGAUUGCGUGCCUUUUGAAGAAUGAGCCUGCGAGUUAGUGGUACGUGGCGAGGUUAACCCGUGUGGGGUAGCCGUAGCGAAAGCGAGUCCGAACAGGGCGACCGUGAGUCGCGUGCCCUAGACCCGAAGCCGAGUGAUCUACCCAUGGCCAGGUUGAAGCGCGGGUAAGACCGCGUGGAGGACCGAACCCACUUAGGUUGAAAACUGAGGGGAUGAGCUGUGGGUAGGGGUGAAAGGCCAAUCAAACUCGGUGAUAGCUGGUUCUCCCCGAAAUGCAUUUAGGUGCAGCGUCACGUGUUUCUUGCCGGAGGUAGAGCACUGGAUGGCUGAGGGGCCCCACAAGGUUACUGACGUCAACCAAACUCCGAAUGCCGGUAAGUGAGAGCGUGGCAGUGAGACUGCGGGCGAUAAGGUUCGUAGUCGAGAGGGAAACAGCCCAGAUCAUCGGCUAAGGCCCCUAAGCGUGUGCUAAGUGGAAAAGGAUGUGGAGUCGCAGAGACAACCAGGAGGUUGGCUUAGAAGCAGCCACCCUUGAAAGAGUGCGUAAUAGCUCACUGGUCAAGUGAUUCCGCGCCGACAAUGUAGCGGGGCUCAAGCACACCGC